CUCGUGAAUUCAUCUCCGGGGGUAGAGCACUGUUUCGGCAAGGGGGUCAUCCCGACUUACCAACCCGAUGCAAACUGCGAAUACCGGAGAAUGUUAUCACGGGAGACACACGGCGGGUGCUAACGUCCGUCGUGAAGAGGGAAACAACCCAGACCGCCAGCUAAGGUCCCAAAGUCAUGGUUAAGUGGGAAACGAUGUGGGAAGGCCCAGACAGCCAGGAUGUUGGCUUAGAAGCAGCCAUCAUUUAAAGAAAGCGUAAUAGCUCACUGGUCGAGUCGGCCUGCGCGGAAGAUGUAACGGGGCUAAACCAUGCACCGAAGCUGCGGCAGCGACACUNUGUGUUGUUGGGUAGGGGAGCGUUCUGUAAGCCUGUGAAGGUGGCCUGUGAGGGUUGCUGGAGGUAUCAGAAGUGCGAAUGCUGACAUAAGUAACGAUAAAGCGGGUGAAAAGCCCGCUCGCCGGAAGACCAAGGGUUCCUGUCCAACGUUAAUCGGGGCAGGGUGAGUCGACCCCUAAGGCGAGGCCGAAAGGCGUAGUCGAUGGGAAACAGGUUAAUAUUCCUGUACUUGGUGUUACUGCGAAGGGGGGACGGAGAAGGCUAUGUUGGCCGGGCGACGGUUGUCCCGGUUUAAGCGUGUAGGCUGGUUUUCCAGGCAAAUCCGGAAAACCAAGGCUGAGGCGUGAUGACGAGGCACUACGGUGCUGAAGCGACAAAUGCCCUGCUUCCAGGAAAAGCCUCUAAGCAUCAGGUAACAUCAAAUCGUACCCCAAACCGACACAGGUGGUCAGGUAGAGAAUACCAAGGCGCUUGAGAGAACUCGGGUGAAGGAACUAGGCAAAAUGGUGCCGUAACUUCGGGAGAAGGCACGCUGAUAUGUAGGUGAAGCGACUUGCUCGUGGAGCUGAAAUCAGUCGAAGAUACCAGCUGGCUGCAACUGUUUAUUAAAAACACAGCACUGUGCAAACACGAAAGUGGACGUAUACGGUGUGACGCCUGCCCGGUGCCGGAAGGUUAAUUGAUGGGGUUAGCGGNAACGCGAAGCUCUUGAUCGAAGCCCCGGUAAACGGCGGCCGUAACUAUAACGGUCCUAAGGUAGCGAAAUUCCUUGUCGGGUAAGUUCCGACCUGCACGAAUGGCGUAAUGAUGGCCAGGCUGUCUCCACCCGAGACUCAGUGAAAUUGAACUCGCUGUGAAGAUGCAGUGUACCCGCGGCAAGACGGAAAGACCCCGUGAACCUUUACUAUAGCUUGACACUGAACAUUGAGCCUUGAUGUGUAGGAUAGGUGGGAGGCUUUGAAGUGUGGACGCCAGUCUGCAUGGAGCCGACCUUGAAAUACCACCCUUUAAUGUUUGAUGUUCUAACGUUGGCCCGUAAUCCGGGUUGCGGACAGUGUCUGGUGGGUAGUUUGACUGGGGCGGUCUCCUCCUAAAGAGUAACGGAGGAGCACGAAGGUUGGCUAAUCCUGGUCGGACAUCAGGAGGUUAGUGCAAUGGCAUAAGCCAGCUUGACUGCGAGCGUGACGGCGCGAGCAGGUGCGAAAGCAGGUCAUAGUGAUCCGGUGGUUCUGAAUGGAAGGGCCAUCGCUCAACGGAUAAAAGGUACUCCGGGGAUAACAGGCUGAUACCGCCCAAGAGUUCAUAUCGACGGCGGUGUUUGGCACCUCGAUGUCGGCUCAUCACAUCCUGGGGCUGAAGUAGGUCCCAAGGGUAUGGCUGUUCGCCAUUUAAAGUGGUACGCGAGCUGGGUUUAGAACGUCGUGAGACAGUUCGGUCCCUAUCUGCCGUGGGCGCUGGAGAACUGAGGGGGGCUGCUCCUAGUACGAGAGGACCGGAGUGGACGCAUCACUGGUGUUCGGGUUGUCAUGCCAAUGGCACUGCCCGGUAGCUAAAUGCGGAAGAGAUAAGUGCUGAAAGCAUCUAAGCACGAAACUUGCCCCGAGAUGAGUUCUCCCUGACUCCUUGAGGGUCCUGAAGGAACGUUGAAGACGACGACGUUGAUAGGCCGGGUGUGUAAGCGCAGCGAUGCGUUGAGCUAACCGGUACUAAUGAACCGUGAGGCUUAACCUU
rnacentral:rRNA from 1 species